rnacentral:RNase_P_RNA from 2 species
GCUCGAAAGCCGCGAGGCUCACACCACACGGGAUGUCAUCGCACAUCCAUCUUCGUGAGCGGGCUAAGGUCUGAGCUUAUUAAAAAAAAGACGAUAACUCGUCUUCCCCCUGGAAUCGAUCCUAGCAGGAUCCAGUUCUAACGAGCUGAGCGGCGUACCAGCGAUCCCCACAGCCGCGUAGCUUCCUAAGAUGCCGUCUAAAGUUCUUCCUGGUUGGGUUGAAGUCUGGCGAGCGGAGAGAAAAGCUGCGCGGGACGGUUUCCUUCGUUCCACGGCUGUUUGGUUGAAAACGCGUGGCGGGGAAAAACGGGUGCGCCUCUCUUUCGUCGCUUUUCAUUCUUUCCCUGUCUCCUCGGUCAUGUCCAUACGUAUUCGCGCCCGCAUCGUUGGUUGGCCACUCGAUGUACCUCAACGUACGUACCUGCUAAGGCACAAUUAAUGGUUGAGGGUGGAAAGAUGCUCUCCGUCCAUGGAAGUCAAUAAGAUCGAUUGAUAGCGGAGGGUGGGCGAAAGAAGCGGGGACUACGGGGGGAUGGGGCGAGGUGGAUUGUUUGACGAUGGAGGGGCGCAUCCUUGAGUCCACUUCGCGGUUCGUGCUUAGCGGGUUUCGGACUGUGGUAUGGUUCGUACCUUCGGGGCGAGAUGUAUCAUGGUCAGAGACUGGCGGCGCGAAACUCGAUUCAGACUACUCUUGGGC